UACGGGGGGGGCAAGCGUUGUUCGGAAUUACUGGGCGUAAAGGGCUCGUAGGCGGCCAACUAAGUCAGACGUGAAAUCCCUCGGCUUAACCGGGGAACUGCGUCUGAUACUGGAUGGCUCGAGUUUGGGAGAGGGAUGCGGAAUUCCAGGUGUAGCGGUGAAAUGCGUAGAUAUCUGGAGGAACACCGGUGGCGAAGGCGGCGACCUGGUCCUUGACUGACGCUGAGGCGCGAAAGCGUGGGGAGCGAACAGG
rnacentral:rRNA from 1 species